GAUGAAGAACGUAGCGAAAUGCGAUAAGUAGUGUGAAUUGCAGAAUUCAGUGAAUCAUCGAAUCUUUGAACGCACAUUGCGCCCCGUGGUAUUCCGCGGGGCAUGCCUGUUCGAGCGUCAUUACACCACUCAAGCCUCGCUUGGUAUUGGGCGACGCGGUACGCCGCGCGCCUCAAAUCUUCCGGCUGGUUCGAAUCGUCCCUCAGCGUUGUGGAAACUAUUCGCUAAAGGUGCGCGUUUCGGUCACGCCGUUAAACAAGCCAAUUUCAUUAAAGGUUGACCUCGGAUCAGGUAGGGAUACCCGCUGAACUUAAGCAUAUCAAUAAGCGGAGGA
rnacentral:misc_RNA from 1 species